CCUAACACAUGCAAGUCGAACGGUAACAGGAAGCAGCUUGCUGCUUCGCUGACGAGUGGCGGACGGGUGAGUAAUGUCUGGGAAGCUGCCUGAUGGAGGGGGAUAACUACUGGAAACGGUAGCUAAUACCGCAUAAUGUCGCAAGACCAAAGAGGGGGACCUUCGGGCCUCUUGCCAUCAGAUGUGCCCAGAUGGGAUUAGCUAGUAGGUGGGGUAACGGCUCACCUAGGCGACGAUCCCUAGCUGGUCUGAGAGGAUGACCAGCCACACUGGAACUGAGACACGGUCCAGACUCCUACGGGAGGCAGCAGUGGGGAAUAUUGCACAAUGGGCGCAAGCCUGAUACAGCCAUGCCGCGUGUAUGAAGAAGGCCUUCGGGUUGUA
rnacentral:rRNA from 1 species